rnacentral:rRNA from 1 species
GUGGGGAAUCUUGCGCAAUGCGCGAAAGCGUGACGCAGCAACGCCGCGUGGGGGAAGACGGCCUUAGGGUUGUAAACCCCUUUCAGGAGGGACGAAGGUUCACCGGUUAAUAGCCGUGUGGAUUGACGGUACCUCCACAAGAAGCACCGGCUAACUACGUGCCAGCAGCCGCGGUAAUACGUAGGGUGCAAGCGUUGUCCGGAAUCAUUGGGCGUAAAGCGCGCGUAGGUGGUCAUGUAAGUCCGCUGUGAAAGUCAAAGGCUCAACCUUUGAAAGCCGGUGGAUACUGCAUGACUAGAGUACGGAAGAGGCGAGUGGAAUUCCUGGUGUAGCGGUGGAAUGCGCAGAUAUCAGGAGGAACACCAAUAGCGAAGGCAGCUCGCUGGGACGUUACUGACACUGAGGCGCGAAAGCGUGGGGAGCGAACAGGAUUAGAUACCCUUGUAGUCCG